AGAUGCUUGCAGCCUUCUGAAGUUGUCUGGAGUUACUCUGUCUAUUGUGGCUCUCUCAAGUCCUACACUUAAGAAACAGGAAAGAAAUUAUUUUUAUAAUACCUGCUGUUUCUAGAUGGCCUCCUCCACGCCUUUGUGUAACUUCUCAGGUAUUAAUAAUAGUAUUUUAGGGAUAAAAAUGAUUUACUGUUCAAUGCGUUUUGGAUAGAUGCAAGCGAAAUAUUGCACAAGUACAUUUUAAGCACCUAAGUGCUUUGUGCUUUAAUAGAAACAAGAAUUUCAAUGGAGGACAGGUAUAUUAGGCUGGAGAAGAAAAUGUAAGUUCUGGCUUAUUCUGCCUAUAAACCAGGGGAAGAAAGAAGAAGCUUUAUUGCAAGUCAUGCAGAGCUGCAUUGUCUUUUAAGAUAUUUCUAAAAGCCAAGCUGAGAACUAAUGUCAUGGUGCUGGCUGCAGCCAUUGUGCUAUGGAUUGAAAUGACCUCUGGAAACCCACUCAGAAUGUCUUGGCCAGUCAAGGUUUACAAUGAAAAAAUUGAAGAGAACACACUAUGAAUCUGCCUCUGUUACUUCGCAAAAGCAGCACGGUCUCUACCCUGUGUACAAAGAACAUCCGUCAAAAUGAAUGCAAUGGCCUGACAGGGAGAAAUGCCAGCUGCAGCCUGGCAUGUCCAGCCUUCCUGCUUGUGUCAGCUGCAUACCAAACUUGAUCUACUAGUUUGCAAAACCUCUGUGGAAAGUGUGAGCAGAAGAGAGGGGCAAAGCAGGAUGGACUCUCUUCGUCUUGGUCAGAAAACAUCAUUUGCUAAACAAGCUUUGACAGCCAUAAAAUCUUCUGAGAUGGAGAAG